rnacentral:rRNA from 1 species
GAUGAACGCUGGCGGCGUGCUUAAUACAUGCAAGUCGAGCGAACGGACUAGAAGCUUGCUUUUCUUAUGUUAGCGGCGGACGGCUCAGUAACACGUUGAUCCCCUCCCUAUAAGACUGGGAUAACUUCGGGAAACCUGACCUAAUACCGGAUAAUAUUUCGAACCGCAUGGUUCAAAAGUUAUAGAUGUUCUUGCUGUCACUUAUAGUUGGAUCCUCGCUGCAUUAGCUAGUUGGUAAGGUAACGGAUUACCAAGGCAACGAUGCAUAGCCGACCUGAGAGGGUGAUAGGCCACACUGGAACGGAGACGCGGACAAGACGCCUACGGGAGGCAGCAGUAGGGAAUGUGAGGCAAUGGGCGAAAGCCUGACGGAGCGACGGCGCGUGAGAGGUAAAGGUGUUCGGAUCGGGAAAAUCUGUUAUUAGGGAAAAACAUAUGUGUAAGUAAAUGUACACAACGUGACGGUACCUAAUGAGGAAGCAACGGCUAACUACGUG